rnacentral:rRNA from 1 species
UACGUAGGGGGCAAGCGUUGUCCGGAUUUAUUGGGCGUAAAGAGCGUGUAGGCGGCCAGACAGGUCAGCUGUGAAAACUCGAGGCUCAACCUCGAGACGUCGGUUGAAACCGUCUGGCUAGAGUCCGGAAGAGGAGAGUGGAAUUCCCGGUGUAGCGGUGAAAAUGCGUAGAUAUCGGAGGAACACCGGUGGCGAAGGCGGCAUUCUGGACCAAUAUUGACGCUGAGGAGCGAAAGCCAGGGGAGCAAACGGG